CUACGGGGUGCAGCAGUCGCGUAACCUUGUCAAUGCACGCAAGUGUGAACAGGGAAUUCUGAGUGCUCAUGCUUUGCAUGGGCUUUUGCCAAGAGUAAAUAUCUUGGCGAAUAAGCGGUGGGUAAGACUGGUGCCAGCAGCCGCGGUAACACCAGCGCCGCAAGUGGCAAUCGCGUAUUUGGCCUAAAGCGUCCGUAGCCGGGUAGGCAAAUUUUCUGUGAAAUUGUGCAGCUCAACUGUACAGCGUGCAGAAAAGACUACCUAUCUUGGAACCGGGAGGGGUAUGGAGUAUUUCAGGGGAAGCGGUAAAAUGCUAUAAUCCCUGGAGGACUACCUAUGGCGAAGGCACCAUACCAGAACGGAUUCGACGGUGAGGGACGAAAGCUAGGGGAGCGAUCCGGAUUAGAUACCCCCGUAGUC
rnacentral:rRNA from 1 species